AUCAAACUAAUUCUCAAUAACAAUAAAUAUCAACACAUAAAUGAAAUCAAUUUUCUAGAAAAUCAUUAAAUCGAAGCAUCAAAUACUUAUUUAUCAAAACAUACUGCACUGUAUCAUAAAAUCAUCAUGUACUUUGAAAAUAGGUUUUGUAUAUUCCACUCACAGUGAUAAUGUCCAGACUCGGUGUCGACAACGUCCGCAGGUUGAUUCUCGUUUUGCGGAUCCUCCUAAUCAAGGAAACGACAUAAUCAUUUUCCGUAACUUGAAAUACAACUAAUCUUACAUAAUAAUUCUCGAAACGAAUAUCUAUCAACAAUAAACUAUUCCCGCAUGCACAAAAUUACCGAAAUACCCCUACAUACCAAAAUUACCAAAAUGCCCCCAACAUCAUUAUUUUACCAAAUUAUCCUCAGAAUCUUCAAUUACUAAAUGGUCCUCAAUUUAGAUCACAUAAAUAACCACAAUGUCAAAAUUACGAAAUUACCCUCGGAGCGUAAAUUUACCAAAAUGUCCUUAACAACUUAAAUUACUGAAUUACCCUUGAAAUCUCAAAUUAUCUCACUGCCUUAACCUAAAAUUACCAAUUUAUCCACUGAUUCCACAAAUUACAUAUUUUCCCUUAAAUUUAUGAAUUUAUCGAAUUGCCCUUGAAUUCAACAUUACCAAAAUACCCUCAUAUCAAAAUUACCAAAUUAACCUCAAAAUCAUAAAUUACCAACUUUAUCCUCAAUUUCAGCAAUUACCAAAAUACCCACAAAAUCUGAAAUUACAAAAUUGCCCUUAGACUGUGAAAUUAC
rnacentral:lncRNA from 1 species